rnacentral:rRNA from 1 species
CCUACGGGGGGCAGCAGUGGGGAAUAUUGGGCAAUGGGGGAAACCCUGACCCAGCGACGCCGCGUGAGGGAAGAAGGUUUUCGGAUUGUAAACCUCUGUCCUUGGUGACGAUAAUGACGGUAGCCAAGGAGGAAGCCACGGCUAACUACGUGCCAGCAGCCGCGGUAAUACGUAGGUGGCAAGCGUUGUCCGGAAUUACUGGGUGUAAAGGGAGCGUAGGCGGGAAAGCAAGUUGAAUGUUUAAGGUACGGGCUCAACCUGUACAAGCGUUCAAAACUGUUUUUCUUGAGUGGAGUAGAGGUAAG